AAAUAUAGAAGAUGUUUUCAUUCGCCGAACAACCCAAAAAAUAAAAAUAUUUAGGGAUCUAAAAUCACUCGAGUCCCAAAACCCCACCCCCACCCCUCUCUCUCAUUCCAAAUCGUUCUUCUCUCCUCCAUUCUCAUCACCCAGCAAUCUCCACCAUCGCGUUGCCGUGACCGCCGCGGUCAUUUGCCACAUCAUCACCAUACUCGAUUUGGCUCUCACUGGACCAGCUUCUCAACUAUGCGCUAAUCUACAUCACCAAUCCAUCGCCGUUUUGGAGUAUGGAAGACGAUAUAGAAGAGUUCUCUUCUCCUGAAGAUACUAUCAAGCUAUUGUUCAGGUCGCUAUGCAAUCUGCAAUGCAAGAAGUUAUGAGUCUUUUGGUAGACAGGUCCAAUUUUGGGGAUACUUUUAGUCCCAAUCUCAUUUAGUUGCAGUUGACUGAUUGUUCAGAUUCAGAUGUGCGUCGGUCAACACAAUAUCAAACAUCCUGUAGUAGUCCUAAAGUCCCGUUGCAUGGAAGUGGAGUUUUAACUUCUCAAUCAUCCUACCAUAGCAUUGGAAGAAAAAAGAAUCAUAUUUUAGAUGUUCCAGCUUCUGUGGUCUGUGCUUGGUCGUCAUUGGUAUAGUCCCUGGUGGAAGGAAGGUUUAUGUUGGUAAAAUUGGGCAGGAGUUGACAGGUCAAACAGCCCACAGACUAUGCUCAAAGGAAAGUUGAAGCAGCUUGUGAAGGCCAGAAGAAGGAAAGCCAAAAAAUAAAAAUAGAUGAAUUUCAUGCCAUGACGGGCAUUAGUUGUAAUUGGAACUGGUGUACUUUAUCCAAAUGUUAAAGCAAAAUAUGAUGAGAAAGAACCACCGAUGUUGAAAUGGUGGUCUAUGCAACAAUGGAAACUGCUCCAAAGGGGACUGACAUGUGAUUGGUGGCUGCAUAGUGGCUAUUGAAGAUAUCAGUGGCCUUUGUCAACAAUGAGCACAGAAACUUGAUGGUGUCCUAUAGCUAUAAUUCUAGUAGUGAGCUUGCGAAAAAUUCUUGAUGGCUGUCCUCAGCUCGAGUCACUUGAUCUCCGCGGAUGUGGCAAGCUUAAUCCAAUGGGAUCUUUGGGAAGAAGACCCUUGGAUUCCCUUGAAGACUAUGAAUGAAUGAAUAUGAUGAAGUCGAUCUAGCUAUAUGAUUGCCCACAAAGGGAGUGAUCAUGCACUCUAGUGAUUUUACAAAAUUUGUUCUACUUUCAGUCUUGAAUGUUGAGGUUGAAUCUUUAUACGGCAGGUGGCUAUUCGCAAGGGAAGACAGCCUGAACGUACGGCUGAACAUACAUUCAUGUUCAAUAUUUAGUUUACUCAUUACUUCAUUAGCUAUAUUUCAGAUUGCCUUAUUGCCAUACAGCU